UACGUAGGUGGCGAGCGUUGUCCGGGUUUACUGGGCGUAAAGGGAGCGUAGGCGGAUUUUUAAGUGAGAUGUGAAAUACUCGGGCUCAACUUGAGUGCUGCAUUUCAAACUGGAAGUCUAGAGUGCAGGAGAGGAGAAUGGAAUUCCUAGUGUAGCGGUGAAAUGCGUAGAGAUUAGGAAGAACACCAGUGGCGAAGGCGAUUCUCUGGACUGUAACUGACGCUGAGGCUCGAAAGCGUGGGGAGCAAACAGG
rnacentral:rRNA from 1 species